GGCGAAUGCCGGUGAAGGAGGCGCGGUAAUACGGAGGGUGCAAUGGUUAUCCGGGUUUAUUGGGUUUAAAGGGUGCGCAGGCGGAAUGUUAAGUCGGGGGUGAAAUUUUGCAGCUCAACUGGAAAAGUGCCUUCGAAACUGGCCUUCUUGAGUAUGGAUGAAGUAGGCGGAAUUUGUGGUGUAGCGGUGAAAUGCAUAGAUAUCACGAGGAACUCCGAUUGCGCAGGCAGCUUACUAAACCAUAACUGACGCUCAUGCACGAAGGCGUGGGGAUCGAACAGGAUUAGAUACCCUAGUAGC
rnacentral:rRNA from 1 species